GGCUCGGGUGGGAUGAGCGCGCGCGGCGGGGACCAUGGCGUGGGGAGCGCGCGUGGCGGGGCGCGCCCUCGGUCCCUUCCCGGGAGGUGGGUGGUUGACGGGCCCGCCGGGGAGCCAGGGAGCGCCGGGAAGCGCCGGGAAGCCAAGCUGCAGUGUUCCUCAGCAACAAGUCUCGCUGAGAUCCGACCCAGAGUUCGGCCUCUGACUAGACGCCUGGGAAUCCGUGAGCUUAAUCCCCGCUUAAAUCCCAAACGGAAAAUCAUAGCGCUUUCUUGUCGGUUAAGGGUGUCAUUCCCAUAAGAAGCUGGACCUGGGGACCGCCAGGGAAAGCCUGAGCGUGGCAGCAAAUGGGGAGGCCUGGAGGGAUCGCAGCAGUCUUGGACUCGGGAUCUGAAAUUCUCUCCCUAGGAUUUGUAAACAGUGCCAGUUCCUAAGCUAUUUGUUGUCCUAUGGUCUGUCCAUCUUUAAAUCCCACCAGUAACAAUCCAAUCUCCAGGCUGACCCUCUAAACCUGCUUUAGCUGGGCGUUGAUCCGCAGCACCACCAGAAGGCAGUGACGAAGAGGGAAAAAUAAAGUGAACUAGGACCUCCUGUAGAAUAACUCCUCCUGUGGAAUAACUCCUCCUGUGGAAUAAGACUCCAGGUUCUUCGGGGACUCUUGGACUUACACCAGCGUUUUGCCGGGGGCUCUGUCGGCUGCACUGUCAGUUUCCCUACUUUUGAGACUUUUGGACUCGGACUGAGCCACUACUGGCUUCCUUCUUUCUCAGCUUGGAGACAGCCUAUCAUGGACUUCGCAUUGUGAUCGUAUGGUGCUGUAAUGGAAAUCCUUUAUUUGUGACUCUUGUGGCCUUGUGUGAGAGUUUUUUCCUAAGAUGGACUACAGAGAACCAGAGAGAGUUUUAAAUGUCUUAUUACCAGAACUUAAAGACCUUUAAGCAGAUGGCCCCAGCAGUUCUUCCACAGGAUUGAGUAAGGAAGAUAGAGAAAAAGGUCAGCAUGUAAAAAAAUGAUGGUACUUGACAGUCCAGCUGCCACAAUGCUUUCAAAAAACUGGAUUUCUACUGGAUUCUUCAAGAUUACAAAGUUACAGCCUUAACAAACAGGUUGUGGACAAGGAAGACAAAGAGUGCAUGAACUGCCUGGUGAUGAAAGCCAUGGUGCAGUGGCGGCGGCGACUGCAACAAGACCCAGGCAGGAAAGGCGCGUGUGGUGUUGGGACCAGCAGACGGGCAGCCUCUGAGGCCAUUUUCUAUUUUUGAAUAAAAUGAUACUACUAAUUUUAUCUGCAAAUAAGUUUUGUUCAAAUGACAAUGUAUGCUCAACAUUAAUAUUUUUCUAAUUUUUUAAAUUGAUGAUUGUUGAUAAUUGAUAAUGACAGGCAUUGAACUUCCUGUUUUGCUGAUUUUUAACUUUUACAAAAAUUUUAAUUAAAUAGUAUCAGUCUGGUAUUUUGGUAUUAGAUUUUAAAAAACAAAAUUUCAGUACCAUAAUUGUGCUGUGGUAUCAUAACUAUUACAUUUAUGGAACAUGCUAACUACUCAUCUUCUAAAUCUUUCAAGAUUUACAUCUCAAG
rnacentral:lncRNA from 1 species